rnacentral:misc_RNA from 1 species
AAUGAAACCUUCAAAACUUUCCUCGAGAACUCGAUUCACCUGCCGCAGCUCUCUUUGCCGGAAUCUCGCUUCGUCUCCGGCGCCAAUCCUGCCCCCGCCGUCCUCGAUUUCCGAUCGCUCUUUUCUCCCGGUGGCGGUGAUUUGGCGGCGCGGAUGCUCCGGUCCGUGAAUGAAUUCGGCGCGUUUCGGAUUGUUAAUCACGGGAUAUCCGGCGAGGAGAUUUUGUCGGUGGUGAAUGAAGCUAAAUCCGUGUUGGAAGAUUGUAAUAAGGGAGUUGAUGAUCGGAGCUGGGUCGACGACGACGGAAAUCGGGAGGCGAUCUUGCAGGUACGGCGGCGGAAUGACAGCGAGCCGUCGGGAAAUACAGUUGUACAGUCCGAAACGAACCGCCAAAUCAGCGAAAAGAUGGAGAGAAUAAGAAGCAAACUAGAAGUCAUUGCAGAGAAAUUAAGUGAACUUUUAUGGGAAUGCAUGGGAGAGAAGGUGAAGAAAGGAGAUAGAAAAGAGACAAUUUUUAGCAUUUACAAAUACAAUAAUCAAAAUAUAUAUGAGAAGG